AGGCCUCGCCUCGCCUCGCCUCUCACCUCUCGCCUAAGGCCAUAGAGUAUUCUAUCGCCUUAAUGUUGCAUUUCGCCUUGGUAACACUGCUUUCUACAAAAAUAAACACAUUAAACACUCAAACAUGUUAACAUAUUACAUGUUUAUUUUGUUAAACAAGCAAAAUACAUACCUAAACUAGUUGAGAGUACAAUAAUUCUUCACAAAUCACCUCUUCAAACUUCUACUGUGCUCUUUCAACCAAAGACAAACUAAGCUUUUGUCCUUGUUGGUCCACCACUGCAAUUCCUCUUCUCCUUACUGGUCCACCAAGCAUAAAGGCUGCUCCACCGAGUUGAAAGGCUGAUCCACCAAGAUCAGAGAAGAGAGGGAUGAGAGAUUGAAAGAGAUUUACAAAAAAAUUUUCCGCUGUAAAUGAGAGCAUUGAGGGUUUGUUUGGCGGAUAAAUGAAUAUGGCUAGGGGAGUAAAUUUGAAUUUAACUCUAGACGCUAGUAUUAUUGGCGUCCCGUUUCUUGCACGCCAGUUAAAAUGGCAUCCCAUGCCUAUGCAUAUCUCCAUGGUGAUGUGACUGAAUAUUCUCUGUCAGCGCUAGAAGCUUGCACGCUAUAUUGGUGUUCCCAGUAGCCUGCAUGCCAUUUAUUUUGGCGUCCCUUGUCCAUGACAUGACGAAAUGCAAAGAUUCUCGACAAAAGCAUGUCGCACGCUAUUAUGGGUAGCGUCCUAGGUCUGGACACUAGUUAUAUUCACAUCUUCACAUGGGCUACUAGUAUGACUAGCGUCCCCAUGCAGCAACCUUUCCACCUCAGCUCCCUUCACACCCUUUGGUAAUUUAACUAAAACAAACCCUUUUCUCAUAUUUUUUUCUUCUACAGUACCUUUGUAUGGUAAAAAACUCCAAAUAUUAAAGAAAAAUUGCACAACAAUGAGCUUUCUAUAUUCAUAAAUCAAAUAAAAUUAAACUUGGAGCAAUACAUCCAACUCUCUCAAAAAAUCAUAAUAAUUUCUCAAAAUAAAGAAUAAUCAAAAUGCCAUAACAUACAAACUAGUGAUGCUUAAAGGAAACUGCAAGUUAAUAAUGGAUUGAAAUCAGGGGUAUUUCUAAAUAUUCAGUUUUAUUAAAUUCAACAUAGGUAUUUCUAAAUGCUUAAAGGAAAGGGCAAGUUAUAGAUUAGGAACUAGUUAGGCCAAGUACAUAGAUUUUUUUUUCUCCAUUUUGUUUUAUUUAGGGCCAAACUACAAUGAGCUAGUGAUAAUUAGUAGAACUCAUUGGAAGAGAACACAUGCCCGUAAGCCCAUAAAGACAAGUUUAGGAAGAGGCCAGGGGAGAUUAAGCAAUACAUGCAUAAAUUCACCAAGUCCUUAACUAUGCUUAAGAAUACUAUAUGAAAAUAUGAAUAUGUACACGCCCAUGCACAAAAGGAAAGAAUAGAAAGGAGGCAAAAGUUCUUCUCCAGAAUAGCCAUGAAAGAUUAUAAUCCUUUGUUGAAAAGUUUUCAGAAAUAACAGGAACUGACCAGUAUGAUCAAUGCUGCACACCCCUCCCUUAUAGUUUCUUCAGGUGCCCUACUCUUUUGCCUGUUGCCUUUUUGGUUUCUCAAUUUGUUUAAAUGUUGUCGUGCUAUCCUGAAAUGAAAAUGAGAAUGGGGGAUGCCUAGCUAAGGUGAACACGCGAAAUGCCUGAGGGCAGUCAACAACAGCAAUGGUGAAGCGAUGACGACUAUGGCAGGCCUGAACCUCCUUGAGGCCAAUUGUUAUUUCGAGUAUACGAGAAACAAGGGGGAUGCGCGAGUGGAACAGGGAAGAGCGAAACGGGCAUGGCACUGCUCUGUGAAUGACGUCAGUGGCCUGGUGUUGUCGAAAGAGAUGAACCGAACCAGAAAUAGGAAGGGAGUAUUGUGAUAGGAAGGAGGAAUGGUGGUGAAGAUGGGUUUCGUGGUCUGCAAGUCGCGAUGACAGCUGAGACAACAACGACGACGGCGUAGGGCUAGUUGAACAGCAAACGGCCCGCGACGAUGGUAGAGAAUAUUGAGAGGGAAAGAGCGGAAAUUUGGGGGGAAGUUUUCGC
rnacentral:misc_RNA from 1 species